UUUGAAAAACAAUGUUUCCAUUUCCUGAAAACUAAAGGGACACCGGAAUCCCAAGGGAGCACGGGAAACCUGCCGGUGUGUAAAGAAAGGGCCGACUGAAGCCAGGAGGGGGAAGGGGAGCAUCGUACAGAGGCGGGUCAAAGCAGCCCUACCACGGCCCGCUGAGGGACCGUUGCAUAACAUCAAACCAGGCGAUUUCGUGUUGGUGAAAAACCUGAGGAGGAAAUCCUGGAAGGCCAGACGGUGGGAAGGUCCGUUUCAGGUUCUGCUGACGACUCACACCGCUGUGAAGGUCGCGGAGCGUGCCACAUGGAUGCACGCUGCCCAUUGCCGGAGGGUUGGUCCUGGACUGCAAGGUGUAAACCAAAGGGAGGACGGCUAGUCGAC